rnacentral:rRNA from 1 species
GACGAACGCUGGCGGCGUGCUUAACACAUGCAAGUCGAACGGAAAGGCCCUGCUUGCAGGGUACUCGAGUGGCGAACGGGUGAGUAACACGUGGGUGAUCUGCCCUGCACUUCGGGAUAAGCCUGGGAAACUGGGUCUAAUACCGGAUAGGAGCCAUUUUUAGUGUGAUGGUUGGAAAGUUUUUUCGGUGUAGGAUGAGCUCGCGGCCUAUCAGCUUGUUGGUGGGGUAAUGGCCUACCAAGGCGGCGACGGGUAGCCGGCCUGAGAGGGUGGACGGCCACAUUGGGACUGAGAUACGGCCCAGACUCCUACGGGGGGCAGCAGUGGGGAAGAUUGCACAAUGGGCGCAAGCCUGAUGCAGCGACGCCGCGUGGGGGAUGACGGCCUUCGGGUUGGAAACUCCUUUCGCUAGGGACGAAGCUUUUUGUGACGGUACCUAGAUAAGAAGCACCGGCUAACUACGUG